CAGACCGAGUAGUUUAAUUGAAGUUCAGUUUAUGAACAUUGAGAACAUAAUUCUCUUAACAAUUUGGUCCUUUGAGAGUCGGAUCUCAAUACCUGCCUCUGUCGUUCCAAAAGAACUGCUGAAAACAGUGCACGGGCAGAUCCAGGAUCCGUAAGACAAAGACCUGACCUCUGACUUGAGGGUAUAUUUCAGGCCAGUGGUGAACUGAUACAUGACAGAGUUGGUGAUGAGAUCCAAUCUACAUUGCUUUUCCCAGUCUUCAAGACGAAGCAGAAAGAUUUGGCCCAUAGGUUCAACAUCCACCAAUCGACAGUGAGACGGAUUGUCAUCUCUUGGGCCAACUUCCUCUGAUGUCUGCUUGGAUCAGCACAGAUAUGGCUCCCCAAGGAAACCAUCAAAGGCCACCUGAGUUCAAGGACUAUCCAGACACCCAGGUAGUGAUCGACUGCACUGAACUCCGCUGUCAGACACCAUCUUCACUACUACUGCAGAGUGAGAUGUUUUCUUCCUACAAGACACACUGUACCUUUAAGGGCAUGUUGGGAUUGUCACCACAUGGAGCUGUCACUUUUAUGUCAUCAUUGUAGGCUGGAUCUGUGAGUGACAAGGAGAUAUUCAAGCAGUCUGGAAUUAUUUCCUUACUCACCCCUGACAUGGCCAUUACGGUGGAUAAGGGCUUUCUCGUAGAUGACAUUGUUCCAUGCAAGGUCUACCGGCCAGCCUUUGUCAAGACGCACACAGAUGCCAACGCAUGAGGUUAGGGAGACCAAAUCCAUUGCCAGGCUGAGAGUGCAUGUUGAAAGAAUGAUCCCCAGAGUAAAGGAGCACAGGCUGUUUGACACAGUCAUCUCCCUGACUGACCAUCUCAGGCAGCAUCAACCAGUUAUUUGUAGUGGCGUGCCUGUUGGUCAAAUAUCAAAACUGACCUUUGGUCAGAGCAUGGGCCAAGCCAGUGUAAAUGUACAUGUGUUCAUUUUCUUGCAGCAAAAUAAUAAUUAGUUUAAUCAUUUAUUUACGACAUGUAUCAAUCAUGUGUGUUGUAGGGAAUUUCAGUUUGUGUGGAGGCAAUGAGUUUAGGGGUGGGGAAAAGAAAUCAAGUAAACACAGAAUAGCCAGAAUGCAAGAUUGAAUACAAUGUUAGAGAUGUGUAAUGGAUAAACUGAACUGUUGAACAUUUGGUGAAAUAAUUAUUUUUAAACAAAUCUAUUCGACUGUAGUUUUCUUCACAAGAACAUCAAUAGUUAUUUUUCAUGAAACCACUAAACUUGGCACCCAUGCAGGGGAUCCAUUCAGGUGCGAGAGACACUUCUGCAAGUAGUGCUAAAAAUAAAAGUGGUCAACCUUCUGUCUUAUAGUUUUUGAAACCUGUAGAUCUUUAUAUAUCCUUUCAACUAGGAUGUCCUCCUGUGCACAGAUGACAAAGUCACACCAGCUACAACCUGUGAGAAGGAUUUGACCUUGCACCUGCCAGUAGUAAGCAUGAGAUCUCUUCAACUUCAGCUCUCCAUGCUGUAUCUUCAGGUAAGGGCUAGCCCCCUCUUCAUCUCCAUGGUCUGCAUACCAGAUCCCUUGAACAUCCACUCAGCUAGGCGGUCAGCUGAGGUCUCUCCCAAGGACAUGGCAAACCUCUCAGAAACGAGAGGAUGUUAUUCUCAUUUUCCUGAGCUGAUGCCAUUCUGGGCUGCUGCUCUGCUCCCUUGUGUAGCAACCUGGACUUUGUGUGACAUCUCGUAGGUUGUUUCUAAUGCUUUGACAUGGAACUUCUCCUGAUGGCUAAGGACGUAAUCACACUGGGAAGCCUGAAGCCUGUAGCCAUCUAAUGGAAGUAUUGGUGGAGAAGGGGCAUCGGCAGCACUUUGAGAUAUCAGCUGAUGUACGAAGGGCUAUAUAAAUAAAUUUGAUUUGAUUUGAUUUGAUCGGCAAUCUUCACAAUUUCACGGGUCUUUGGCUGUGGAAGCUGAUAGGACAGCACACUGCCAGCUUGCACUGGCCCAAAGGCAGACUCAACCAGGGGCACGUCAGCUGACAUUUCCAUUGUUGUCACAAGAGGGGGAGUAAGUGGAGAAAAGUUGGCAUAUGUUUCUGAGACGCGGAGAAGGUCCAUGUCAGGCAUGUAUCCAUUGAGCGCUUUGUAGAGAGAACUUCUGCAAAACAUUUUAAAUCCUUAACAUCAGGUUGGAGAGAUUACUAUGACAAAGACUCAUGUAACUUUCCAGAAACAGCAAAAGCCCGAAAGUUCAAAUAUAAUAUCAAUUCAAAUUGAUUAAAAUAUAUAGAUGAUGUAUUUCCCCCCAGUCUUUAUCCCAAACAUGUGUCAUUACAUCGUAAAGAUGCUAGGCUUAUCAUCUGGACACAAAAAAAAUCACUAGGAAAUGUUUUUCUAAAAUGUUUCCAUUCUCGGAACCUCCAACGUACCUUAUUCCAUCAGCACACGAGUUAGUAGGUUUAUAGAACUCUAUCCCAUCAACCGGACCUGGCUUCAACACCCUAAUUAACAAGGAUUUACUGUUACAUAGGCUGAAUACUUUUCAGGUGCAUUUUCAUAUGGUUAUUGAUGGACUCACAAGUGUUCUUGGCUUGUGCCAAUGCUGUUCUGUGUCUGUGCAGCUGUGAACUGGUGGUGCAGCAAGAAUGUUUAGUUGAGAGUAGUGCGCUGUCUGGUAAAUAAUGGCCACCAGAGGAUUGCACACAGCACUUCCUGCAACACAGGAGCGCAGUGGCUUUGAACCACUAUCACCAGUACGGAGUGCUUUAACACCAUCUGUGAAGCUACGUGUGAUGAAAGACUGAAGUGAGAAACAAGAAUGAUGCGGCCCAUAAAUAACAAUAAACAUAGUAGUGUCUAAUCUUCUUAACUAGGCGCUCAUUUAACUAUACAGGAAUACUUUGUGUCUCAGUAACACAAUUACCAAACACUGCAUCAACAGAUCUUUACCAAAUAUCCGCAAAUAACCUCAAUCAUUAAUAUCUACCUAUUGUUAAGAUUAAACAUAGUUACUGUCUCCAACACAUUUUGACCAUGAUGACAGUGUCCCACAGGAGAUGUUUAACAAUGUCCCUAGUAGCUAUUUAUAACCUUUCCAUACUCUCAUGCUGUGCGGCGUUUCACUCUUCCUCGUGGACCUGUGACAGGCAGCCCUCGGGGUGAUCUCCCCAGUCAAUGUAUAUUUGUUAGAUACUGUGUAG
ensembl:lncRNA